rnacentral:rRNA from 1 species
UACAGAGGGUGCGAGCGUUAAUCGGAAUUACUGGGCGUAAAGCGUGCGUAGACGGUUAUGUAAGUCGGGUGUGAAAGCCCCGGGCUCAACCUGGGAAUUGCAUUCGAGACUGCGUAGCUAGGGUGCGGAAGAGGGAAGCGGAAUUUCCGGUGUAGCGGUGAAAUGCGUAGAUAUCGGUAGGAACACCAGUGGCGAAGGCGGUCUCCUGGGGCAUUCUUGACGCUGAGGCGCGAAAGCUGGGGGAGCAAACGGG